GUCCGGGGGCGUGCGAGUCUGGCCGUGUGCGCGCGGCCAGCCAGUCAGGAAGUACCAGGGAACAUCCCGGCCGGCUGCGCCGCUCCCGCCUCCCCGGCGGCCGCCGAGCGUUGCCGAGCGCCGUAACCCCGGUCCGCCGCGCUCCCUCGGCCGGGCAGCAGUCGCCUCCUCCGGCUGCUGCUGCUGCUGCCGCCGCCGCUCCUCCUCCUUCUGGCCCAGAGAGGGUAGGAGAAAAGCCGGGCCUCCGCCCCCUCGGCGGGCCGGGCGGGCCGGGCGGGCGGGAGCAGCACGUGCCCGCCUUGGGGGUCGGGAGGACGAGGGGGCCGCGCUCCCCGCUGAGGCCCCGGAGCCCGGGCGGCGGCGGCCGGGUACAAAGGAGCGGCCCGCGCGCGGGGCGCCGCGGAAUAUAAAUUAAUAAAUACGACGCCCCAGCCCGAGAGCUCCCGAUCGCCAAUCCGCCUGCAGCAAGUUUGUUCAACUCGACAGGCUGUAACCAGAGCCGGGGAAAGGGGAGGGUGGGUCGGUGAGGCCCCUGCUCCCUGAAGACUGGAAAAAAAAAAAAAGAGGGUGUGACAAAUUGGAUUAUCAUAUGUCCUCCAACUUCAAGGUCACUGCAGAACACACAAGGAAGGUCCUCCAGCGCAAACAGUUCAGUCUUUUAGAAGAGGCUAAUAUCUGUCUGCAUGAUGGAAUUAACAACAAAGUUUAUCCAAUAGCCACAUUCACAAAUCCACCUUCUAAAUAUGGUUCUUAACAAAGACUUCAAGGGAAUCUGAUGACCUGCUGAACAGGUAUGCAAACAACUGUGUAUAAUGCACAUGUGUGUUUUACUACUACAUUCUCAUAGCA